rnacentral:rRNA from 1 species
CAUAAUCACUUGUUCCUUAAAUAGGGACUUGUAUGAAUGGCUCCACGAGGGUUUAGCUGUCUCUUACUUUCAACCAGUGAAAUUGACCUACCCGUGAAGAGGCGGGCAUAACAUAACAAGACGAGAAGACCCUAUGGAGCUUUAAUUCAUUAAUGCAAACAAUACUUAACAAACCUACAGGUCCUAAACUAUUAAACCUGCAUUAAAAAUUUCGGUUGGGGCGACCUCGGAGCACAACCCAACCUCCGAGCAAUACAUGCUAAGACCUCACCAGUCAAAGCGAAUUACUACAUCCAAUUGAUCCAAUGACUUGACCAACGGAACAAGUUACCCUAGGGAUAACAGCGCAAUCCUAUUCCAGAGUCCAUAUCAACAAUAGGGUUU